UUUAUCAUAAAAGCAGACAAAGAAAGAAUUUUAGAACUAUGUAAAGUUGACUAUAUUACCUUUGCAUCUUGUAAAAUCAACUCAAUGAAAUAUGGUAUUUUAGGCUUCAAACUAUUCGCGUUUUACACAUUCGAACGAUUCUAACUUUGAGAUUCAAUUGCAUCAAGUUGCUUAAAAAUUGACUGAUUUCAUGAAGUGUUGUAGUUAUUGCAAAGUUCUAUAUUUUGAGAAUAAGGGAAUGUAAAAAAAAAAAGAAAAGAAGGAAUAGACCGUUUGAGACAUUAUCAGUGUAGGAGACAAUUUCUA
rnacentral:lncRNA from 1 species